rnacentral:tRNA from 1 species
GGAGCUUUAGCUCAGCUGGUUAGAGCAGUCGGCUCAUAACCGAUCGGUCCCGGGUUCGAGUCCCCGAAGCUCCAC